UGAUAGUAAGACGUCGCAGGUUUCCGUCCCGCCCCCUUUCAGCAGGGAAGCGGCGCGGAAUCAAAAGGGAAUCCGGCGAGAAUCCGGAACUGCCCCGCAGCGGUAUGCGAGAACGAACGCCGUUUAUGGCACUGGGAGCGCCACGCCCCUGGGAAGCUUCGGCUAGUAGGAAAAUGACAAAAGGGCUCGCGAGUCCGAAGACCUGCCUGCGAUCCGUCCUCAUCG
rnacentral:ncRNA from 1 species